AUGCUUGCAGCAUCCGACACUGAUAGCUCGGACCUCGAUGAGCCCGUAGAAUCCUCCAACACGGGAUCUAUCAACCUAGAUCCUUUCGACUAUGUCUACUCGAACAUCCCAGACAGCACGCACAUCCUGAAGCACGCGGCAAACUGCGAGCAUUGCAAGGCCAAGAAGUUCCAGUACGAGACUGACGACUUUUGCUGUCGGAACGGGGAGAUUGAGCUAGCUGAACCAGAGCCUAUCCCAGAGCUGAUGAGGUUAUGGUCAAGCACGGAUGCAGACUCUCGGCAUUUCCGAGAGAGCAUUCGGUUCUUCAACGGGCACUUUGCCUUCACUACCCUUGGCGUCAGCCUAGACAACAACUACACAAACAUGAAGUCCGGGGUGUACACGUUUCGGGCACAUGGCACUAUGUACCACAAGGUGCACUCGUUCGGUCCAAGAUCUCGCCCUGAACAUCUGCAGUUGUACUUCUACGAUGACGAUCCCAGCUUAAGCCAUCGCAAGGAGGCCACCAAGCAAUUGGACCAG
rnacentral:rRNA from 1 species